GAGAGAGAGAGAGAGAGAGAGAGAAUGAGAGAGAGAAUAAUGAGGAGAGGGCCCAGGACAGAGCCUUGGGGGAUGGAGACUGUCUAGAAAAGGUGCCUGAAGAAGUGGUCAGAAAGGUGGGAGAGUUAAACGAGCAAUGCAAUGAAGCCAAGUGAGGAGAGGGGGCUAGAAGAAGCUUCAAAAGAAUAAACAAAUAAACAAAAUGCUAUAAUGCAAAAAGAGACAGCAGAGGUGAGAAAAUGAGGGUAGUUAACUUUUUGGAGGAGUCUAGUUGAGAAAGGGAAAAAAAGCUCCAGGUGGAUAGCCAUGCGCCAAGGGAGGCCUUUUCACAGUUGGUGAGGCCUGAGGGGGCUUGGUGGCAAAGGAAGAGCUGGUGGAGGGCUGAGGAGGCAGGGUCUGGGGCCAAGAGCACCAGGGGCAGGGUUAGCCUUGACCAACAGAAGGGCUGGAGCCUGGAGCCAGAGAGACAGUGGCUGAGAAGGGGUGUAGAUGUCGAGGACAGUUGGAGUGUGGGGGAAGAUGGAGCCUAGCACACACAACUCCUUUUCCUUGUGAAGCAGGAGGCAGAGGAGUUCUCUGCUGCUGGCCCUUGGGUCUGGAUCAUUGGUUCGAUGGGGCAGAGUCUUUUCCACUCUGCCUUAUCCCAGAGACACAUGGUAGGGGAGGGAGACCUAGCUAGUCCUGCUUGGAAGCAGCAUCAAUGGAUUAGUCCCCAGGUUCUGAGGGUUUCCUAUGAAUGGGCAAGGCUUAGGAGGCUAGAGGGAUUAAAGUCAGUCAGUCAGUCACCAAACAUUUAUUAAGCCCUACCCAAAAGGCCUGUAGGUUGAUCACCAGUUCUUUGGGGCGAUUCAGUUCACGUCAUCAAACAUGUAUUAACUGCCUACUGUGUGACACAUUAGGUUCCUGCCCUAGAGGAGCUUCCUGACAGGAAACACCAGGACAGACAGAAGGAAAUGCAGGUCACUUUAGAAAGUGGCUUCUGAGAGGCCAACGUGUCAAAGCAUAUUCCAGGCAUGGGGGUUGGCUGGGGCAAAUGUCUGGAAGCUGGAGAUGGAAUGCUGAGGGUGGUGAAUCGACUGACUUUAGGGAACAGCUUGUAGUGUGGUUUGGCCGGUCCAGGGAGGGUUCCCGUGAGAAGGUAACACUAGAGCAACCAGAAGGUUCUCGGAAAAGACAGUUUGGGGACCUUGACCUCGGAGGGGAAAAUGGGGGGGGCGGUAACAGGAGGAAGGGGUGAAGCCGUAGGAGGAGCUGCGUUCGGAAAGGCCUUGAAUGACGGGCAGAAGACCCCGCUUUGCUCUUAGAAGCAGCUCUGGGCCCUCCCUCCCUCCCGAGCCUCCACAACUGCCUCCCUCCCUCCUUCCUUCCUUCUUUCCUUCCCCUAGGGCUUGGCGGAGUAGUGAGGGUGAAGCCGUCUCCAAGCCUAAUUUGGAAAUGAAGUUGUAGAGAAUUGGCUCCAUCAGUCGGUGCCUUCGGGGUUGGGCUGGGGCCCCGACCUGCCGUCCCGGGCUCCCCCCACCCCCAUCCCCGGGGGCAGUGUCUGUCGGGGCUGUCCCAUCCCUCCCCGGUCUGCCUCUCCUUCCUUCAGGCUCCAGGCCCUCCCAGCCCCGGGAGCCCGCAGCAGGGCAGAGAUUCGCCCCCCAGCUAUCUGGCCAGACUCCCAGCCUGGCGCUGCUUGGGCUCCGCUGCCUCAUUAGCCCAGAUGCGGCGACUGUCCCCUCCCUCCCCAUUCUCGCCCAGCUCCGGGUCCAACCGGGGCCAUGUGCUCAGUCUGCCCCGGGGCCCUGGCCAAGCCAAGCGCGAGGACGCCGGUGUGUGCGGGGCCAGGAGGGAGGGGGAGAAGGAAGGAGGACCAGGAGGUGGUCCCGGCCCAGCUGGGCCAUAUCGGAGGCUCCGGAGGGCCAGGCUGAGGGAGGCCCUGGAGGGGCUGCUCGAGGCGCGCCCUGCUCCUCCGGACUUGGCGUCAGCCCCGAGCCCCAAGGGCCGCGCCUCAGCUGCUUUGUCUCAGCCUCUACCGGGGGGCGCCGCGAUCCGCUCCCGGGGCCCUCCCACCGCCAGCCCGGACCCCCGAGAGUUCCCCUCUAGUGGCAGCUGCGGCCAGGACGGCCAGGGCCCAAAGCACCACGGCAGGACAGUCUCUCCAGACCUCUCCCCUCUGACUGACCUGAGCUCCUAGGCAGUCCCAUGGCUCGGCCCCUGUUGUCCACGAGGGAGAGACAUCUUUUGCCGCUUCUUCAUCCCUGACACAGGACACCUAUCCAGCAGCAGACGGUGGGCCCGAGAGCACCCCGAACGGGCCGCCCUGUGCUUCGUGUCCGGCGUGUGCGUGGGGCUGUUGCUCACGCUGGCCGCCCUCGUGCUGACAAUCUU